rnacentral:rRNA from 1 species
UCUUGGAAGUAAAAAGAAAAAUCUACCAGAGUACUAUGAAUAAGCAUUUAAAACUCAAAGAGCUUGGCGGUGCUUUAGACUCUUCAGGGGAACCUGUCUUAUAAUCGACAAUCCACGCUACACCUGACCCUUUCUUGCACACAGUUUGUAUACCGUCGUCGUCAGGUAACUUCUAAAGAUUUCAAUAGUUAGCAAAAAAGUUUCUAGCAAUGAACUUAAACGUCAGAUCAAGGUGCAACUAAUGGAAUGGGCAAGAUGGGUUACAAUUAUAAAAUAAUAAUACGAAAAACUAGUUGAAACACUAUUUUAAAGGAGGACUUGAAAGUAAAUUAUCGAUUGUAUAUAUAUACUAAUUGAAUAAAGCUCUGAAGCGUGC